CCCUGGGCUGGGAGUGCGCAGCGCCGCGGGAGCCAGGGCAGCUUCCACCUGUGGAUGAUGGGGACGGCAGCUUCUACUUCACUGGACCGCCAGGGGAAAUAAAUGCAGAGCCGGGGACAGCCUGGAGCUUGGCCAUAGCACUCCCAGGAAGACCUCCCAUCUCUCCAGUCAGAAAACAAUCACCUCCCAGUCUGGCAGGGUUCCCCUGGGUAUGAUUUGAUCUCACGUCCUCUG